rnacentral:misc_RNA from 1 species
AUACUCUCAACCUUCUUGGUUUCUUUGACCACGAAGGCUUGGACUUUGGAGGUUUUUCUUGCUGGCCUCUUUUGAAGCCAGCUCCUCCUAAAUGAAUGGGUGGGGUCCGCUUUGCUGAUCCUCGACGUGAUAAGCAUUUCUUCUACGUCUCAGUGUCAGCUCGGAACCCGCUUUCCAACCGUCUUUGGACAAAGACAAUGUUCGAGUUGUGACUCGACCUUACAAACC